rnacentral:lncRNA from 1 species
GGAUUUCAAGAUUUAGAAUUUUAUAGAAAAGCAAAUUCUUUCUUUCAUAUUCUUCUUCAUGGGAUAUAAUCACAUAGCAUCCCUACACGUCAUAAGAGCAUCCCAUCGAAUGAGAAGAAAGGGCCUUUAAACCCUUCUUGCUCCUAUGAUCGGACGGCCUGAUGAUCAACCCAAUCUAAGUACUUAUUAAUCGAAUCAUCUAAUCUAAUUACAUAUCACAUAUGCUUGAAUUUAGAUCCAAUAUAAAUUAUAUCAGAUUUGAUCACAAUCUUAGAUCACAUCUAAAUCAAAUCAUAAACAUCACAUACAAUAUAUAAAAUCAGAUUUUAUCAAAGAUCAGCACAAAUUAGGACAACCUGUUCACUGUAAGGAUAAAUCCUAUAGCAGGACAACCUUAUUUCAGUUUGUGUGAUCUAUCAUUAAUUAAAUUUAGAUCUAAAAUAUCAAAUAUUAGAUCUAAAUAAAAUUAAAUUUCAUAUUUAAUAUGCAUAUAUAACAUGUCAUAAUGAAUCUAGGCUCUGAUACCACUAUUGAAAAACGUAAACGAUUUCAUGCAUGUAUUUCAAAAAUUUUUGAAAUAAAUUAUAGUAAAAAAUCAACUAAAUUAAUUAUAUUAAUCUAACAUGCAUGUGAUCAGACCAAUAAAUCAAUCUACUCUAGGAUCUAUGACAUGAUAUGUUGCAUAUAAAAUUUGAACAAAUCAGAAGAUAAAAUCUGCAUGCAUACAUGUGAGCAGUAGAUCAAAUCUACUUCUAAUCUGAGUUCAGAACUCGAUACCUGAGCACGAAUCGAUGAUCGUCGCUGUUGAGAUAUAUGAUAAAGAGGAUCCUCACUAGUUGGUUACAGCCGCACAUGUGUUCGAUCUCUAUGGUAGUCCAUUCGAAGCUCUGAUCUGAUUGAUCUCUUCGAGAGUGUGAGCUCGCACGAAGACCAUCUUGUCAGCUGAUCUGAAUCCCUUCUUCAAAUUUCUCGAAUCUUUUCAGAAGUUGAAGGACAUCUGGAGGAGAUGAGGAUGAGGAAGAAGUAUGGAGAGGAGAUGCUCUUCUCUCUUCUUUUCUCUCUUCCCAAACCCUUAGGGACAAACCUUAGGAUUUCUAUGUUUUGCUCACCCCAAGAGGAGAGGGCUCUCCUCUUUCUUUUUCCUGCCAUGAUAUCACGCCCUAACCUCCUCACCAUGGAGAGUUAUUUAUGAUGUCUCUUACACGCAUAAAAAGGAAGAAGUCCCUUUUAUUUGGUACCCACGAGAGGUUGGGUUAGAAGAGUCCAAGAGAUGUUGGACUCUAGAUGAGUUGUCACCCCCUCACACAAUUCCAUGCCAUAGAAUAUUGCGACGCCCAAAACCAUCUUUCUUUCUUACGGUAAAUCAGAUCUCAUCUGAUUCCCCAUACCAAAAAUAUUCCUCCUUUUAUCGCACAAAAGAAAGGGAAUUAAGAGAAGUGGGUGGCAAGGUUUAUGGAUAAGGUUUGACCUUAUCCAUAUACGGUAGCCCAUUUAAAUCAAAUUUGAACCUACCUUUAAAGACCAGAUUUUAUCUAUCUUUGGACAUGAGAAAGGGGGGGCGGAAGACCUUUUUGCAUGGAGAAAACUUUACGCAAAACUCUUUUUGGCGUGAUGAGAAGUGGCAUCCAAUAUUUGGGUGGCGCAUAAGAAGAGUCCAUCACUACAUGGACUCUAGGAUUCUUUAUUUGAUUCAAACCAAAUCAUAUUUGAUUAAGCCCAAAUAAAUAGAUGAAAUUCAAUCUAAUUAGGUUCACAAAUCCUUUAUCAAAUCUUAAUCUAAUUAGAAAUUGAUUGAAUCAAAGUCCUGAUCAAAUCAGAGACAAUUCUCCCUUAACGACUAGGUCAUCUCAUAACCUAAUCGGAUCAAACCUAAUUGAAUUAAAUUCAAUUAAAUUUUAUCUAAUCCUCUUUGCUCAAUCAAAUUGAGCUAAUCAGCAAUCUAAUUCCUAAUUAAUCCUCCAUUAAUUCACUAACACUUAGCGAAUACAUUCAUUACAAUUUUUGUAUAAGGUUAACCAUCAAUCGAAUUGACGAUUAAAUUCUUGAAUGAUUCUCAAUCGUUGAUCAGC